rnacentral:rRNA from 1 species
GUAGUCCACGCCGUAAACGUUGGGCGCUAGGUGUGGGGCUCAUUCCACGAGUUCCGUGCCGCAGCUAACGCAUUAAGCGCCCCGCCUGGGGAGUACGGCCGCAAGGCUAAAACUCAAAGGAAUUGACGGGGGCCCGCACAAGCGGCGGAGCAUGUUGCUUAAUUCGAUGCAACGCGAAGAACCUUACCUAGGCUUGACAUGCACGGAAAUCUCGCAGAGAUGCGGGGUCCGUAAGGGCCGUGCACAGGUGGUGCAUGGUUGUCGUCAGCUCGUGUCGUGAGAUGUUGGGUUAAGUCCCGCAACGAGCGCAACCCUCGUUCCAUGUUGCCAGCACGUGAUGGUGGGGACUCAUGGGAGACUGCCAGUGAUAUACUGGA